GACGAACGCUGGCGGCGUGCCUAACACAUGCAAGUCGAACGAAGCAUAGCAAUAUGCUUAGUGGCGGACGGGUGAGUAACGCGUGAACAAUCUGCCCUGUACAAAGGAAUAGCCUCGGGAAACCGGGAUUAAAACCGUAUGACACUUUAGUAUCGCAUGAUAAGAAAGUCAAAUCGAUUAGAGGUAUGGGAUGAGUUCGCGUCUGAUUAGCUGGUUGGCGGGGUAACGGCCCACCAAGGCGACGAUCAGUAGCCGGCCUGAGAGGGUGAACGGCCACACUGGAACUGAGACACGGUCCAGACUCCUACGGGAGGCAGCAGUGGGGAAUAUUGCACAAUGGAGGGAACUCUGAUGCAGCGACGCCGCGUGAGUGAAGAAGGUCUUCGGAUCGUAAAACUCUGUCCUUGGUGAAGAAAGGACGGUAGCCAAGGAGGAAGCCCCGGCUAACUACGUGCCAGCAGCCGCGGUAAACGUAGCGUG
rnacentral:rRNA from 1 species